rnacentral:misc_RNA from 1 species
CGUCAAAGUUGCAUCAAGAUUGAGUCCAUACCGUUUCAACUGCCCCUUGUCGUAAUAGUAACGUAUGCUGGACCAGGUUGAUUUAAAAGCAAAUCCAGUAAUGAAUAAACCACUUAACAAGAACAGCGGGCAUAUGAACAAGCUCAGUAACCAGUUGGCGCCAUAAGUAUAAAACAGUACCAACGAGAGAACGGUGAACACCAUCCCGAGCACCAACAUCAUCAAAAAUGCGACAAUGUGCGCAUACAAAACCUGCCGAAAUAAACUGAAAUUGACAGGCGGCUUCUGUCGUAUUCCUUUACUCACUACGGCGUCCUUUUAUGU